AGUAGCUCACUGUAUGGCAGAGAUGUUCACAAGACUGCAAGGACACCCAAGGGGAUUCCAGAAAAGUUCCAGGGAAAGUCAUCCACCGGGAGGUGCCAUGUUGGCAGCAUUUACUGAGAAGCCACUCUCUGAGCUGCUGGGGGAAGCUGCUCUGGAGAGCUGCUGUACCUUGGAACUCACUGUGAAGCUGCCCCAAGGAAGUUCCCUAGAGAAGCCAUGGAUGAGGCGGUGCUGGGCUGGCUAGCAGGAUUCUGUUGUGUAGCCACCCAAGAGGGCGCCUGGAGAAGCUGCUCAUGUAUGUGAACUCUGCACAUACUGGCUCCCUUUCUGCUUCUGCCUGGAAGCAACCUGAAGCCUUCACCAGAAGUACACCAUGCUUCUUCUACAGCCCACAGAACCAAAAGCCAAAUAAACCUCAUGUAUAUAUCAUAUCAUUUGUGUUGCCAUAGAGGAAUACCUGAAGAUGUGUAAUUUAUAUAUUU
rnacentral:lncRNA from 1 species